rnacentral:rRNA from 1 species
ACGCUCGACACCUACGGGGCAGCAGUAGGGAAUCUUCCACAAUGGACGCAAGUCUGAUGGAGCAACGCCGCGUGAGUGAAGAAGGUCUUCGGAUCGUAAAACUCUGUUGUUAGAGAAGAACACGAGUGAGAGUAACUGUUCAUUCGAUGACGGUAUCUAACCAGCAAGUCACGGCUAACUACGUGCUAGCAGCCGCGGUAAUCUGAGCGGGCUGGCAAGGC